rnacentral:rRNA from 1 species
GAUGAACGCUGGCGGCGUGCCUAAUACAUGCAAGUAGAACGCUGAGGGAAGGAGCUUGCUCUUUCCGGAUGAGUUGCGAACGGGUGAGUAACGCGUAGGUAACCUGCCUGGUAGCGGGGGAUAACUAUUGGAAACGAUAGCUAAUACCGCAUAACAGUAGAUGUUGCAUGACAUCUGCUUGAAAGGUGCAAUUGCACCACUACCAGAUGGACCUGCGUUGUAUUAGCUAGUUGGUGAGGUAACGGCUCACCAAGGCGACGAUACAUAGCCGACCUGAGAGGGUGAUCGGCCACACUGGGACUGAGACACGGCCCAGACUCCUACGGGAGGCAGCAGUAGGGAAUCUUCGGCAAUGGACGGAAGUCUGACCGAGCAACGCCGCGUGAGUGAAGAAGGUUUUCGGAUCGUAAAGCUCUGUUGUAAGAGAAGAACGAGUGUGAGAGUGGAAAGUUCACACUGUGACGGUAUCUACCA